rnacentral:rRNA from 1 species
UACGUAGGGGGCAAGCGUUGUCCGGAAUCAUUGGGCGUAAAGAGCGUGUAGGCGGCCCGGUAAGUCUGGUGUGAAAUCUUGGGGCUCAACCCCAAGCUGUCACUGGAUACUGUCGGGCUUGAGUCCGGAAGAGGAGAGUGGAAUUCCUGGUGUAGCGGUGGAAUGCGCAGAUAUCAGGAGGAACACCUAUGGCGAAGGCAGCUCUCUGGUACGUGACUGACGCUGAGACGCGAAGGCGUGGGUAGCAAACAGG